ensembl:lncRNA
GACAGACAGCACGGUCUCUCCAGCAGGCAAAUCAGCAUCCAUCUCUCGGCUAGCAGUGAUAGAGCAGUGAUGGAGCAGAGGCAGCCCGGCUUGGCAGCACAGCAUGAGGAAGUCAGAGGCAUUCACCUGCUCACCCCUGGGACUGUCAGCGAGAGGUGCCCUGGUGUCACCAGGGAGCAUGGAGACCUUCACGGCCAACAGGAUGGGCGCUCCCUUGGCAAGUGCUGUUCCUCUGGGCAGUGACAAGGCCGUGAUCCCCAGGGAGCAGAGGUCUGACAGCCACCCACUUACUCCAACUGGGAAAAUGAAACAACACAGAGAAACUGGAGGGAGGGAUGAGGAGUGGCAUCUCCUUAAACCACAUUUCUCCCUGACUGGAGCUACGCGGUUAAGUCUGGGUCCAUCACCCGAAGCAGUCUGAGGUGCCCAGGAAAUAGCAUGUUCCCAUAUGCAAGAGAUAACAGAUGCCUAAUUUCAAAGAUCCUGAAAGUUGUAAUUUGGCACGCAAUGGCAUGCGUUGUAAUGAAGUUUACAGAGGCACUGUCUGAAGCGUUCACACAUGAAAAAUUGAAGUGGAGAUGGUUGUUUUAUUUAAAUCAAACCUAUUUUCAGAAACCUUUUAUCCAGCCAUAAACUGCUGUGGAGUAGAAGAUCAACAUUUGCGUCUCCAAGUUUUCUUCCUAAUAACAAGUGACUAACAUAGCACGCUGUGUCUUAAAGGACCAUUAGGAAAACGCUGCUUUGCUGGGGGACUGAUAGGGAUGUUUGUUCCUCACUGACCAGGUAAGAACAAUGUCCUUGCAUUUGAGCACAAAAGGGAGGAAAAGCCAGUGCUACGGCAAAUGGAGCAGUUUACAUCCCCCUCUGUUGAGGGGGUGGUUUGCACCCAAAGAGGUGCAAAGAGAGAGAUGAACACACUCCUAUUUUCACCACAGGCUGCAUGUCCUGGCAUCAGCCAGAGGGAUGGAAUGUCCUGCCUGACCCUACACAGCUGUCCAAUAACCCAUGUGAACCUCAGUGUGCACUGUGUGCUCCCAGGCCAGCUUUGCUGCACGUGAUCCAAACCCAGCUCCAGUGGCAGAAUUAGAAGCGUGCUCACCUGUUUUGCUACAGUGCUUUUGACGCUAUUACAAAUUUAAAUGUAUUGGGGGAUCACCUUUCCCCCAGUACUGCAGGUUGGAAAGCAAGAGAAGAAAGCAGAGCCAAAGGAGCCAUGGCUAUGGGUGAUGGUGCAACUGGUGAUUGUCAAAGAAUUCUCAUUUCCCAGAGAGCUGAGGUAUUUUUCAUGCUCCAGCUCUCUUGAGUCUCUAAUGCAACUCUGACUGCUCAGCAUUGCAGGUCAUAUCCCUGAGUCUCAAGUCAGAUAGCCAGAACACGAGGAACACUUUGUUGGUGACCACCCACAGUGGGUUUGGUGUUAAGUAAGUUGCCUGGGAUCACCCUGGCAGGCGGACCGAAACCUCUCACUUCUACUGUACAUCUGAACAGCCUUAAAUGUUUGUUCAUCUUUCCACAAACCUCCACCUCAUUCACUGCUCAUCUUCCCACUCCUGUCUAAAUGGGGCAGCGAUCCUUGGACAAUAGCAUCUUUUACUGCACAAGCCUGAUUCAUUCCCCAAGCAGGUCUGUAAUUGCAGUGGGCUAAUUAAAGACUGUAUCACAACACAGAAGAUGGGAGCGGGCCUGGGAAGAGAAUUCUGCACUCUUUUCUACUCUAUUCCUUGUGGAUCUAUUCACCAAGGGGACAGAGGAGCUCUCUGCAAACACCUAACACUCUCCCCGUGAGUACACAGAGGGAGAUGCUCCACUAGAAAAGUUUCCCCCAAGAUUACUCCUAUCGUAGAAACAGAGCUGCAAUUACUAAGCAACUCCCUUCUCUCCUGCUCUCCUCUACCUCCACCAAGGAUGCACCCACCACAGGUCGAGGCUGCAGGAGAGUGGAUCCUGCAUCAAAGGGAGAAGCCCAUGCAGGCUCUGCACGGUUGGUAUGUUCCACUUGAACAUCAGCAGGACACAUGCAAGCUAAGAGGUUUGAAAAGUUCAUUAAGUGGCCGAGUUUGGCAGGAAAAUUAAGUGAAAGUCACUCUCCUGCCAAAUCUCAACAGCACGGUGGUGCUAGAGCUGCUCAAAUAGGACGCAUAUCUUAACAUUUCAAGGCAAGCAAAAGUGCUUUUUCCUUUUGUUUUCCCCCCUCCCCCCCAAAAAGCUGUCAACAUCAUUCCCACAUCAAUCCACACGUUGUGGAUGCUUAUGAGCAUAAAUACACACACAGAGCAGCACUGUCACUGACAUUUCUAUGUUGUCAAGGGAAGAGGUGGAUUUGUUCUGAUUGUCUGCAAACUUCUGGGAACUUCUGUAUUUCUGAUCCAUCCACCAUAAUUACAGAACACCCCACAAUGACCGAAACUCCUUCCUGUAAUAUUUUAAAAUGUAUUUCCACUGUUUGCCCACGUGCCACCCAUAAGGAGGGCUUCUGUAUUAGUCUGGCCACAGUUGUUUUUGUGUUUGUUUUGCUUUUACAGCCAUUCCUUUUUACAGUCAGGCAAGAGCUCUUCCCCCCCCCCCCCCCCCCCCCCUUACACUUCCCUCCAAAGUAUCAGGGGCAAAUAAACCACCUGCCACAAUAACCUGCAAGCAGAUGAAGGGGCAAUAAGAAAAGCACAGUAGACAGGGGUGUGCACCUUUACACUUAAACUGCUAGGAACAAAUAACCAUUUGGUUAAGUACAAUAUACAUCCAAAAGCAUACUAACUGCCCAUAUUUGGUACGACAAAAGGAAGCCCUCUUGAAGACUGGGUCUACCAGCAAGAUCAGGUUCUACUGGUCUCAUGUUGGACAGUCAACUUGGCAGCAGCUGAGCUGAGGCUUCAAAGAACUGAGGAUUUGCAGAAGAUUCAAAGUCCACCUGAAAUGUCUUCCCUGACCCCCCUAUAGCCCCAGAUAUGUAUCUAAGGUACAAAGAAAUGGAACCAAAUACAAAAAUUCCAGCGGAGAUUUUUCAUUCAGUUCUCCUAUCAUCUUCCUUGAAACAAGUAUUUCUGCUUCAACCAAAAGUAAAGUGGAAAACAGACAACAAAAAGGAGCCUGAUUUUCCAGAAUAUCCAAAUCACAGCAGUCAGUCAGCAGUCCCAAGACAUCAUAACCCUUUGAACCACCUCCAUCUAGACACCCAAACAUUAAGACAUUUGGUAUUGCCAUUCAGACCUGAAGUGCUGGUCAAGAUUUUUAUUCCACUGGAUGAUUACUACUCUGAGGCAGCAAAACGUGCUCGUACAGCCAGGUCUGGAAACACAGUUUCUUGCUGGCUUGAGAGUCCCGGAGGGAAGUGGAAGCAACCAACCUUUGCGAGAACAAGUUUUCAAGAUUACAGACCUUCCAUCAAAACUCUGAGGGGAAACAUUUGGCUGUCUGCUCAAGCAUACACUACUUCAAGAUGGUUUUGUAACAAAUGUCAUUAACAUUGCACAUUCGAGAGGUCUUGCAGGUUGCAGCGUAACCUUCCCAAAACCUGCUCAGUUACACAUUGACUAAAUGAACAAUGUUGAGUUGGUUUGGAUUUCACCAUAUAUGGCCUGAAUGAACCUAAACCAACUCAAAAGUUACCCAGUGUGAGCCAGUGCCAGCUAGAUUCUCAACACUUCAGCAGCGAUGGUUUCCCUUCAGCGUCACUGAAAGUUGGGAGGUUUGCUUUGGUGACCCGUGGCCUUUCCUUCUUCCCACCCGCCUCAUUCUUUCUUUCUCUGCUAUGUAUGUUAAUUUGGGGAAAAUCAUAGCCUAGGGCAACACACCUGACUGCUUCCCACCCCAAAAUCAUUUACCAUUUAAUGCACGGUUACCUGCCUUUAUAGUUCUCUAAUGAGCUUGAACUGCAAUUAACAAAAUGAUUGUGUUCACUUCAGUACAAUGCACCUGCAAAUACCAGGAAAGGAAGUCAUCUUUUUAACAAAAAAAAAAAACUCGGUACAUAUUUCAGCGUAACCUUGAUAUACCAGCAUGGAAUUGAGUUCUAACAGGUGUCAGUGGCUGCAAACAGCUUGCUGCCCUUUUUUUUUGUUUUAAUUUGAUUCUAAUCAGUUGAGGAUGCCCCUGUAUUGUCAUCUCAUCCAUAGUUCAAUGAUGGAGUAAGUAGUUCCAUUUACUUUUCUACUGAAAUCAUUCACUAUCCUGUACUGAUCCUUUUUUCUUGUAAGGAUUCAGACUGAAGCUAGUAUUGUAGCCUCUGCUGCACGAAGGUCUUUUUAAACACAUUGCUAGGAUUUAUUCAGAUCUGACAUUUACAAGAAAAAACGCCCAAGAGAAAUAAAUGAUUGGUUGCUUUCAUAGUAUUU